ACGGGAGGCAGCAGUGAGGAAUAUUGGUCAAUGGGCGAGAGCUUGAACCAGCCAAGUCGCGUGCGGGACGAAGGCCCUACGGGUCGUAAACCGCUUUUAUACGGGAAUAAAGUGCGCCUCGUGAGGCGUUUUGCAGGUACCGUAGGAAUAAGGAUCGGCUAACUCCGUGCCAGCAGCCGCGGUAAUACGGAGGAUCCGAGCGUUAUCCGGAUUUAUUGGGUUUAAAGGGUGCGCAGGCGGCUUUUUAAGUCAGUGGUCAAAUCGUGGGGCUCAACCCCAUCCCGCCAUUGAUACUGGAGAGCUUGAUUGCGGUCGAGGUUGGCGGAAUUCGUCGUGUAGCGGUGAAAUGCAUAGAUAUGACGAAGAACACCGAUUGCGUAGGCAGCUGACCAGGCCGUAAAUGACGCUCAUGCACGAAAGUGCGGGGAUCGAACAGGAUUAGAUACCCUGGUA
rnacentral:rRNA from 1 species